CACCUUGUCUCAAAAUAAAAUAAUAAAAAGGGCUGGAAUGUAGCUCAGUAUGAGGGCUUGCGUUGUCUGCAGUACUGUAAAACAGCAAGUAAACAAAAAGUCAAAAUGGAAUAGAAAUGAUAAGCUAAUAACAUAUUUAAAGUUAUUAGAAUUGUCUAAAGUAUUUUAUCAGUUCCAUGAAAAAAUUAAUUGCCAGUAAUACUGAAGCAUGUAUACAUACUGUUCAUCAUCAUUUUUAGAGAUAUCAGAAGGUGUUUAUUUUGCCUGGAACAUCUGUUCUAGAGCUGUAAAGCAUCAGGUUUUAGAUGUAGUCCAAGCAGUGGUUUUGAAGCUUUUCUUCAUAUUAGAAAUGGAGCCUUUUAAUUAAAGCUAAUUUUGUGCAAAAGCUCACAUAUCAUAAAAAAUAAAAAGUCUCUAUUUGAAGUGGUGGUACUAGAGUUCAGAUCCCUGAAUGCUUGGCCUUCCCUGAGUGUCCAAUGGCAGCCCUAAGUUUCUAUAAAACAAAUAACAAAAGAAAUGGAAAAUUAUUACUAUAGAGCAGAAGACAGCAAAUUAUGCCCCACACUGUUUUUGUAAAUAGUGUCUAAUUGGAACACAACCAGGCCUAUUUGUUAGUAUGUUGUAUAUAGACUGUUUUCACGGCAAAGUUGAGUUGCUGGAAAAGACUAUAUGGCCUGCAAAGCAUAAAAUAUUUACUAUCAGGCUCUUUACAGAACAUUUUUGCUAACCCUUGGUCCAUGAGAUACUAUUUUCUAGGGUGUCCCAGAAUGGAAAAUUUCCUCAAAUUAGAUGGUUAUUUCAGUUAGUUUCACAACAGGAUUAUAUGAUUCUACAAAAUCGUACAUGUAGACAAAAAUAGUGUUAAAACCUUUCCUCACUUGUCUCAUUCCCAAUGACUAUAAAAACUAUACAAGUCUAAGGCUAAGGUGGGUUUAAGGAAAAUUUUUAUGUGUGGCUAAUUUCCUUAACUAUGUAACAAAAUCUCUAUUCUCCAGAGACAGACGUCACAGACAACAUACAGAACAACUUGUCUGCAGUGGUUGCUCUCUGAUCUUGGCAAGAACAGUACAAACUGUCUGUAUCCUGCCUGUAUCCUGCGGCUAGUUUUCUCCAAACCCUAAGGCUAUCACUCAGAACAUCGGUUAUCUAAGUACUUAAAAUACAUGUAGCCAUUUGUUACAAACAAGACCAAAAGUGAUAACUCAGAAAAAGAAAUUUAUGUUCAGGGUUAAGUGAUUUAAGACAAUAUGACAUGAAAAGAUUUAAUGUUAGUAUUUCUGCAAGUGUUUUUAUGGAUUUUGAAGGAUCAGAAACUAUGAAAAAAUUCUGAAACUGCCAAAAUUUGUCAGGGCCAAAAUAACAUUUAAAAUCAUCAACCCUCAAUUAUCUGCUUCAAAGGUCAGAUCUGAGCUUGGUGGUGCAUGUCUGUAAUCCCAGCACUGAGGAGGUUGAGGCAGGAGGAUGAAUUUUUGAGGCCAGCCUGGAGUACAUAGUGAGACUGUUUCAACCUUCCUCAAAUCAAAGCUCUGUUGUUUGAUGCAUACAGAGGAUUUUUAUGUCAUGAAGACUAGAUGCUCUUACCAUUAUGUUAUGUCCUUAUCUGUCCCAGUUAAACUUUCGGAGUCCAAAAUGUGCCGGGAAUCGAACUCAGGACCUUGUGCUUGCCAGGCAGUGUUUCUUUUGUCAGAGUCUGGAAGAGUCACAGCUCUACCAGUGUCAGCCCUAAGCCAAGUGAGGAGUGUGCAGCAGACAUGGUGAAAAUGAGCAAAUCCAAAACUUUCCAAGCUUAUCUGCUGAAUUAUUAUGGAACGUGGCAGCUGGGGAUGAGCCUACCUCUUCAGCUCCAACUCUGUGGAGAAAGUGGAGUGUGGCCCCUCUGAGAAGAGUGUCCUUUGCACUGGGCUGCAGGUGGUCACGUGCAUCUGUGAGAACUGCAAGACCACACUUGGGUGGAAAUAAUAACAUGUUUUUGAGAGCAGUGAGAUAUAUAAGGAAGGACAUUUUUAUUAUUGAGCUUGGCCACAUAAUCAAAGAGCUGGAAGUAAAAUGGAAAUGUGUCAUUGUCUUUUGAAUGCUGUUUCAUGAAACAAACUGAAUGUAAUGGAGAUGUAGAGCAUCGUGGAUGACAAUAUUUUUUGAACUUCAACCUCGCAGGCUAGCUGUGCUGCAAUAUCCCAAUACUGUAGUACUCGAAGGCCUCUCUGGGCCAUCUCUGUAGGUAAGGUGUCCCCCCACAUCCAUGGCCUCUUCAUGUAUAUAUAGUUGUCACUUACAGUUUUCAGUGUUCUUUUUCUAAUUCCUCAAGUUCAAGGGAACAAAUUAACCAAUUGAUGACUUAUUUGCCAAGAUAAUACCUUCUUUUAAUCUAUGUCCUCUAUAUAAUGUGGCUUUCACAUUCAGUAGCAAACCAUGUCCCUCAAACCACAGAGACAGGUCUCCUCCAACAGCAAUUGUCAUGUCUCCUUUUUUUAAGGGAAAGUAUUGCAGCUGUUUUUCUACUAAUUCUUGAAGCUAUACGUUGGUUAUUCUUCCUGCAGAUCAACUGUUAAGAUAUAGUAUCUAUUUAAGAAUCUUCCAGAAGCAGUAAACAAAUUUAUACAACAUGAGCAUUGUUUUUAAGUUUGUUCAAAGAUGAAAAACACUACCGUUAACAUUUUAGAUGAGCUACAAAUAGAGAAAUGUCCAAAAAUAGUUAAUCAUAUGCAUUAGCAUGUACCAAAAGGUCAUAGGUGGUGCUUUGAAUUUUGAUUUGCUAUUCAAUUUUCCAAUAAGUUAAAUGAUUUUAUGAUGAUCCAGAAUUUAGUAUUAAACAAUAAAAUACUGAAUUUUCCAA